rnacentral:misc_RNA from 1 species
AAAUUAUUACUACGACCCUCGUCUGCUGAGUGACCCGAGACAGAAUUUUCAUCACGAAAACUAUUAUCGUUACCCCUCGGGAUUUACCCACCACCCCGUUCUGCCCGAUUAUGUCAGUCACAGUGUGUCGUCUGCGAGUUGCACGUGCAAUCGACCGCCGGUUCAGGAGACAUUCCUGCAUCAGAUUUUGAUGGGGAAGGGGUACAAAAAUGAUUGUUUGUACGUGAACCGCCCAAUGAAACCCGAGAGUUAUCAUGACUAUACCUGUUGCUACUCACGGAAUCCAUAUUAUCCCCCAUACUCUUAUUCUAACCACUAGUUAUAUCAGGGCUCCUUUCCGAGGACAGACUUCAGUUUUAAGGUCUACUUCCCGGCGUCUCGGCAGAUUGAGGACAGUAAAAUCGGGGACUGAAUCUUAUACAACAUUUAUGUUUAUUUAUUAUACAGAAAAAAUGGUUUUAUAUGUGUACAUGUAUGAGUAAAAAUGUAUUUUAAAAACUCC